rnacentral:lncRNA from 1 species
CUACUCUACCCAGCCGGCACCGCUCGGUUAGCUGACGCUGAGGUAGCCGGGGAGGUGCGUCCCGUCGGUCCCCCGCCCCAGAGCGGCCGCAGUCCCGGCUCCCGGAGUGGUGGUCCCUGCCCCGUCCAGAGAAUAACAUGGGGAGGCCGAGGAGCCUGCGCUGCGGCGGACGACCAGCCCCGCCGGCGGUCGCUGAGGCUGGGGUUCCAAUGCCAGUCUUCCAGUGCCAGUGCUGCUUCCCAGCCCACACAUCCCUCUCACCACUGCUGCAUCCUAAGGAAGUCAGCAACCUUCAGGGGGUACUUGUUCCUGGAGCCAGAGUAGAGGAGGGUGGCGCUUCCAAGGCUGUGGGCAUCCAAAGAAAGAGUGCUGUCCAUCCUCCUCCUGCCUACUGAUCUCCCAUCAGCAGAACCCCACUGGAGACCUACUGGCAGCUUUUUUUAGGGCCGCUCUCGAAUCAGAGCUACAGCUGCCAGCUUAUAUCACAGCUACAGCAACAUAGGAUCCAAGCUAUGUCUGCGACCUACAAUGCGGCUCACGGCAACGCGGGAUCUCUAACCCACUGAGCAAAGCCAGGGAUCAAAACUACAUCCUCAUGGGUACUAGUCAGAUUCAUUUCCACUACACCACAACAGGAACUCCCUACAUUUGUUUUGUGGUAACAAUUACCUGGUAAAUUUCCAUCUUCCAAUAGAGUUGUGCUACUCUCUUUCACAGUUUUCUUACUGUAUUUUUGAGUAGGUAUUGUGCAUAUAACUUUCAUGGUCCUCAAAAUUAAAUCCUCUGUUAUUAUUAGGAGGUGAAGAGAAGGACCCGGAGAGCUUUAUAGAAUUAGUUCUCAUGGGCUCUUUCCUCCGUUGCUAUAGCAAAAAAAAAAAAAAAAAAAAAAAAAAAAGUAUUUCCUUAAAAUACAGCAACUCUGUGAAGUCAUGCUUCCUGUGCCUCCAGGUACCUAACCAGGCUCUGAAAAGCUUCUACGUAUAGUUCUCAACUUCCUGAUUUAUUCACACACUGCAGAGACCCAGGCUUUGCCUUACAAAAUAAUAUGAUCACUUUUAGAAAGUUAUUACUGGUGGUUUCUAAGAUCUACUAUCUCUGAUUAGGCACUUCGUAUCUUUCUCUCUCUUUAGUGUUUAGACCCUAAUCAAUCUCAGUUCUUUCCCAGAAUGUCCUCUUGAAUUCCUACAUAGAUUUGCUGCACAGUGCUUAUGGUCUCAGUUGCUGACUACAGCAUUGACUGUAAUUUUGGAGUGUUGGGGUUUUGUUAGUCAGCUGUUUGCUGAAAAUUCAUUUUCUGUGACCUUAUUUUUUUUCUUCUUGUUGUUCUGGAUAGAUUUCAGGAGAAGGAAUGAAAAGUUUCAGAACUUAACAGACUCCCAUGUUCUCAUAGAAUGAUGAUAUAAUUUAUUUUUCUCCCAUGUUCUCAAAAGAAAUGAAAAAAUUCUCUGGAAGUACUAUGAUUAUUGGCUUUAGAUAAUGAACGAGAAUGUUCUAGUUAUCACCAGCCUAAUUCAAGCCAAUUAUAUAGAUUUUUCAUACCUACUAUAACAUUAAGGCUAUGUCUAGAAGAUAAUGUCACAAAGUAAUUUAAUGGAAAAUCAUUUAAGGCCUACAGUUCAGAUAAAUUAAGUUUUAAGCAAAAGAGGUUCUGAAAGAAGUAGA